AAUGCGUCUGUGGGGUCGACCGCUGGAUGGAAUGGACUUGAGUCGAGGACGGGUUGAAAAAUACAAAUAAUCGCCAAAACAAUCUAAGCACCUAACCUAACCUUCGCCUAACUAUAAAUACAACACUAAUAUCAAAUACUACUAAUUUACAUACGAAACAAACUUAUUUUUAAUACACAAUACGUUGAAAUUGACGAAUGCGUCGUAGAGAAUAGCCGCCGCUUUAACGAGCGUGGCACGAGGAUUGGUUGUGUAACUCCUGUAGACUGUGUGUGUGCGCCGGGGGUUGGGGGGGGCGGGGGUGGAGCGCCUGCUGGGUACACGUGAAUUUGACCCAAGUUUACAGGGAUGGGCUCAGAGAUCCCGGGACGAGUAGGGUUAAUGGGUUACUGUCUCAAGACACGAUUAUAUUGACCCUUCUUGACUGCUGCCACCAUCUUGACCCUUGUUGACAUCUGCCACCAUAUUGACCCUUCUUGACGCCUGCCACCAAAAUUGACCCUUCUUGACACCUGCCACCAUCUUGACCCUUCUUGACACCUGCCACUUCAAACAAGUAUGUGAUACAAACAUCGUGUGUUGUAUAUCCCUCAUGUACAAGAUCGUGCUGGAGCAUCGUGCAAGACCUGAGUAAAAUUAGAAUUUUUGACAGAUUUUAGUUUAUGUGAAUGUGAUUAUUACUUUAACAUAAUUAUAUUGAGGCGCGAGGAAUGUGUCGCGAGACAGCCGCACAACACUGCCAGAAGUCGACAAUUAAUAUCACUAUUACUGGCCGCUAAUGAGAGCCAUUACUAUGUGUUGUGACGUGGCGCUGACUCUAACAGCACUAUUGAUCAAGCGCAGGAGGGUGACGACACCUCCUGCACCUCACUCCUCAUUCCCCUCCACAACCAUCUCUUAAAAUUGUUAUAUUCUGACGCUCCAUAAACACAGUUGGAUUCUUUUCUAACGCUUCAAACUGGUUUGAAAUUCUCUUGUGUUACAGUGGGGACAAGACUAGUGGCGGACUGUGAAGUUAGUCGCAGUGUUGAACCCGACCAGUGUUCAAUAGUGUUCAGUAUAUGGGGCCGGUGGUGGCAGCCUGAGCGGCCAUGUGGUCCCUCAUAAGGUCUUCCCGCUGGGUCAAGCUGUGACUGUGGCCGGUGGUGGCAGCCUGAGCGGCCAUGUGGUCCACAUAAGGUCUUCCCGCUGGGUCAAGCUGUGACUGUGGCCGGUGGUGGCAGCCUGAGCGGCCAUGUGGUCCACAUAAGGUCUUCCCGCUGGGUCAAGCUGUGACUGUGGCCGGUGGUGGCAGCCUGAGCGGCCAUGUGGCCCCACAUAAAAUCUUCCCGCUGGGUCAAGCUGUGACUGUGGCCGGUGGUGGCAGCCUGAGCGGCCAUGUGGUCCACAUAAGGUCUUCCCGCUGGGUCAAGCUGUGACUGUGGCCGGUGGUGGCAGCCUGAGCGGCCAUGUGGUCCACAUAAGGUCUUCCCGCUGGGUCAAGCUGUGACUGUGGCCGGUGGUGGCAGCCUGAGCGGCCAUGUGGUCCCUCAUAAGGUCUUCCCGCUGGGUCAAGCUGUGACUGUGGCCGGUGGUGGCAGCCUGAGCGGCCAUGUGGUCCCUCAUAAGGUCUUCCCGCUGGGUCAAGCUGUGACUAUGGCCGGUGGUGGCAGCCUGAGCGGUCAUGUGGUCCCACAUAAGGUCUUCCCGCUGGGUCCAGCUGUGACUGUGGCCGGUUGUGGCAGCCUGAGCGGCCAUGUGGUCCCACAUAAGGUCUUCCCGCUGGGUCAAGCUGUGACUGUGGCCGGUGGUGGCAGCCUGAGCGGCCAUGUGGUCCCUCAUAAGGUCUUCCCGCUGGGUCAAGCUGUGACUGUUGCCGGUGGUGGCAGCCUGAGCGGCCAUGUGGCCCCACAUAAGGUCUUCCCGCUGGGUCAAGCUGUGACUGUGGCCGGUGGUGGCAGCCUGAGCGGCCAUGUGGUCCCACAUAAGGUCUUCCCGCUGGGUCAAGCUGUGACUGUGGCCGGUGGUGGCAGCCUGAGCGGCCAUGUGGUCCCUCAUAAGGUCUUCCCGCUGGAUCAAGCUGUGACUGUGGCCGGUGGUGGCAGCCUGAGCGGCCAUGUGGUCCCUCAUAAGGUCUUCCCGCUGGGUCAAGCUGUGACUGUGGCCGGUGGUGGCAGCCUGAGCGGCCAUGUGGUCCCUCAUAAGGUCUUCCCGCUGGGUCAAGCUGUGACUGUGGCCGGUGGUGGCAGCCUGAGCGGCCAUGUGGUCCCACAUAAGGUCUUCCCGCUGGGUCAAGCUGUGACUGUGGCCGGUGGUGGCAGCCUGAGCGGCCAUGUGGUCCCUCAUAAGGUCUUCCCGCUGGGUCAAGCUGUGACUGUGGCCGGUGGUGGCAGCCUGAGCGGCCAUGUGGUCCCACAUAAGGUCUUCCCGCUGGGUCAAGCUGUGACUGUGGCCGGUGGUGGCAGCCUGAGCGGCCAUGUGGUCCCUCAUAAGGUCUUCCCGCUGGGUCAAGCUGUGACUGUGGCCGGUGGUGGCAGCCUGAGCGGCCAUGUGGUCCCUCAUAAGGUCUUCCCGCUGGGUCAAGCUGUGACUGUGGCCGGUGGUGGCAGCCUGAGCGGCCAUGUGGUCCCUCAUAAGGUCUUCCCGCUGGGUCAAGCUGUGACUGUGGCCGGUGGUGGCAGCCUGAGCGGCCAUGUGGUCCCUCAUAAGGUCUUCCCGCUGGGUCAAGCUGUGACUGUGGCCGGUGGUGGCAGCCUGAGCGGCCAUGUGGUCCCACAUAAGGUCUUCCCGCUGGGUCAAGCUGUGACUGUGGCCGGUGGUGGCAGCCUGAGCGGCCAUGUGGUCCCACAUAAGGUCUUCCCGCUGGGUCAAGCUGUGACUGGGGAAAUACACGCUGCUCUAAUUGGCUCUUUUUUUUUAUUUGUCAUUCUGAAGUUGGCUCAAGCCAAUCAGGUGAUUGGCUGGUAAAUACCACCACGGUCACUGAUUGGUCCUCGUGUGACAAUAUUGUCUUUAUUUAGUUCUUAUCUUCAGCGACAAUCAUUGACUAGUCUUUAUAUAUCGCAGCGUUCAGCGAUUGGUUCCAACUGAUUAUCACGGUCACUGAUUGGCUAUUAUAUUACAUGCUGUCCACUUAUUGGUUCAUACUGGUCAUAGGGUACAGUACUCUUUGGUCCUCCCCUGCAUAAAUAUAUGCUAGCAUCUGUCACUCUUGGUUAUAUUACAUAUGAAGGUUUGAUCUGUCAGUUAUUAGAGGGAUGUUAGUGAUAGAUGACGUCACGCACAGCAACGGCCAAUCACUGUGCUAACAAGGUAGGUGACGUCACGCACAGCAACGGCCAAUCACUGUGCUAACAAGGUAGGUGACGUCACGCACAGCAACGGCCAAUCACUGUGCUAACAAGGUAGGUGACGUCACGCACAGCAACGGCCAAUCACUGUGCUAACAAGGUAGGUGACGUCACGCACAGCAAACACCAAUCACUGUGCUAACAAGGUAGGUGACGUCACGCACAGCAAACACCAAUCACUGUGCUAACAGGCCAGAUGACGUCACUCAGGACACGGACGUAUCAGAGUAUGCGUCGCGCGGUCACAAGAUUUGGGCUGAAUUUUCAUUUUAAUCCAACCUCCCAAUCUCCAAUCUUCCCAUCUUCCUAUGCGUAAGAGCAUCCUGUGCCACCCUCUGUGUUAGCACCUGGAUUGUACCUGGGUGGGGUUCUAGGAGUUCUGCUCCCCCCCCCCCGGAACCCGGCACGAGGCCAGGCUGGAUUGUGAGAGUUUGGUCCACCAGGCUGUUGCUUGGAGCGGCCCGCAGGCCCACAUACCCACCACAGCCCGGUUGGUCCGGCACUCCUGGCAGGAAACUGUAUAAUUUGUUCUUGAAGCCCAGUGUUCUCUAAUUGUAUUUAUGGCACCUCUACAGUUCACUGGCUCUAUUCUGUAUUUCCUACCAUGUCCUGUGUCGACGUCCCUGUGACUGAGAGGGUCCUGUGUCGACGUCCCUGUGACUGAGAGGGUCCUGUGUCGACGUCCCUGUGACUGAGAGGGUCCUGUGUCGACGUCCCUGUGACUGAGAGGGUCCUGGUCGACGUCCCUGUGACUGAGAGGGUCCUGGUCGACGUCCCUGUGACUGAGAUGGUCCUGGUCGACGUCCCUGUGACUGAGAGGGUCCUGGUCGACGUCCCUGUGACUGAGAGGGUCCUGGUCGACGUCCCUGUGACUGAGAUGGUCCUGGUCGACGUCCCUGUAACUGAGAGGGUCCUGGUCGACGUCCCUGUGACUGAGAGGGUCCUGGUCGACGUCCCUGUGACUGAGUGGGUCCUGGUCGACGUCCCUGUGACUGAGAGGGUCCUGGUCGACGUCCCUGUGACUGAGAGGGUCCUGGUCGACGUCCCUGUGACUGAGAGGGUCCUGUGUCGACGUCCCUGUGACUGAGAGGGUCCUGGUCGACGUCCCUGUGACUGAGAGGGUCCUGGUCGACGUCCCUGUGACUGAGAGGGUCCUGGUCGACGUCCCUGUGACUGAGAGGGUCCUGGUCGACGUCCCUGUGACUGAGAGGGUCCAGGUCGACGUCCCUGUGACUGAGAGGGUCCUGGUCGACGUCCCUGUGACUGAGAGGGUCCAGGUCGACGUCCCUGUGACUGAGAGGGUCCUGGUCGACGUCAGAGUCCCAAGCAUCCAUCAAUAACAGCCCAACAAUCAUUGAUGCAUUCGGAAUAUACAAAACAUGGCCCUGGAAAGAUGACCUUCACCAGAGCGGUACAUACAAACAUCAACACACAAGAGUCAGGUCUAAAAUCAGAGAAAAAUUUGAGCCCCCCUCUUCGUUAUAAGCAAACAAACCUAACCUAACCCAACCUAACCUAUGAGAAGGACCUAACCUAUGAGAAGGACCUAAUCUAUGAGAAGGACCUAUUUUAACGUGAUCUAACCCAAUCCAACUUAACACAACCUAACGAAAAUAAAGAGAUACAUUAUUGAGAUUUAAAUAUGGUGUACACUAGGUUUGUGACGUCGCUAUGACGUCAUAAGGUUCAACCUGGUACAGGUCUUAGACCCCUACCAGGGACAUAACAUCAUAGAAAAUGGUCAGUGUCACUAUUGUAGACUAACAGUGGGGGUCACUAUGCACAAUUCUCUCGAAAACGAUUGCAAUAAAUGUGUUGAAGGCCUUGCGCAGUUUAAGGGUUAAGCAAGUCGGUUUCCUUGUGUCGUUUGGUUAGACUUUUUUAUAAUUUGAUUGCAACUAUUCUAUUAUUAUCAGUAAUUAAUAAUAAUGAUAGCAGAAGAAUUCACUCGUUAUGGGAAGGGAAUUUUACCUUUUAGGCAGCUCAAGGGUAGGUUGUUGCAGUGAGGAGAGUGACGACCCUUGGCCAGAUGCUGGGGUUGGAAGCCUAGGUGCUGGGACCACAAGACUGGGUGCUGGGACCACAAGUAUGGGUGCUGGGACCGCAAGGCCAGGUGCUGGGACCACAAGACUGGGUGCUGGGACCACAAGGCUGGGUGCUGGGACCACAAGACUGGGUGCUGGGACCACAAGGCUGGGUGCUGGGACCGCAAGGCCAGGUGCUGGGACUACAAGACUGGGUGCUGGGACCACAAGGCUGGGUGCUGGGACCGCAAGGCCAGGUGCUGGAACCACAAGUAUGGGUGCAAUAUGUAUUUCCUACAAUGCCUUGUACACGAGUGAGUGGCACCGUUACAUUCAUCACACUAUAAGUGGCAAGACGCUGGACUGUUGCACACAUGACUGAAAUUUGCCAUUAGACCCUUCAGACUAAUGGCAACCACCAGAAUUACAAAUACAGGAGGAAGACAAUUAAUUAUCCUCUAUGGUUUCAAUCCCCCUUCGUAUAUCACUGUCUUACUCUCACAUUCACCAUCACCAUCUUCACCAUCACAAUCAUCAUCAUUAUUACUAUUUUUUCCCGAACGAGAUCUAGAUGCUUUGUACAGUUUUUGUAUGAUAUAAAUAAAAUAUUCGAAUUUGA